AGCUGUGUUGUUUCACUUUGUAAUGGAUUUGGAUGACCAUAUUGAUUUCUUAUUUCUGUCAUUCGCAGGUUUUCCGUGUUGCUUCAAUCAUUGCAACAUUAUAUACAAUUCAAAAUGCAAUUGGCUCGGCUGCAAUCACUAGAGUUUCAAAUGCACUAGGAGCUGGACAUCCACAAGCAACACAAUUGUUUGUGUAUGCUGCUAUGACUCCUGCUGUUUCCAAUGCAAUUUUGAUUAGUUCCACCAUUUUUCUCUCUCGACGGAUUGUCGGUUAUAUAUUUAGCAACAGGCAGGAUAUCCUUGUAAACCAAAACGAUAGAACUAACUUUGUUUGCUGUCAUGGCAGGAUGUCCUUGUAAACCAAUAUAGUAGAACUCACUCUGUUUGCUGUCAUAGCAGGAUGGGUGUUUGAUUGGGUUCUGCAGUAAGCUUGUCAUGCACGUCGGGUGGGAUUUAUGCCAAUGACUUUGGUAUGUUGUAGGCCUGUGGUAGACUCAUUGCUUGGAACCGAAAUCUGUUAGAAUUCAGGCACAAGAUUUACGGUGCGGAUGGUCCUGGUGUAUAAUGCAUUUGGCUUUGAUGUAGACUGCUGUGCUUAUCUGGUCGUGGCUUGAUGGUCAUUAGAUUUUGAAGUGUAUUUCUUUCAUUUGGCCCACUGUAAUGUAUUUUUAGGACCUAAGAUUGCUGUGAACGGUCUUGUGGUAUUGUGGUAUUUGAAACAACUAUGUUUGUAAAAAUCCAAAAUUUGUUCAGCUAAUGUAAUUUCUACAUUGAUGUCUUUAA